rnacentral:rRNA from 1 species
UACGUAGGGUCCGAGCGUUGUCCGGAAUUACUGGGCGUAACGCGCUCGUAGGUGGUUUGUCGCGUUGUUCGUGAAAACUCACAGCUCAACUGUGGGCGUGCGGGCGAUACGGGCAGACUAGAGUACUGCAGGGGAGACUGGAAUUCCUGGUGUAGCGGUGGAAUGCGCAGAUAUCAGGAGGAACACCGGUGGCGAAGGCGGGGCUCUGGGCAGUAACUGACGCUGAGGAGCGAAAGCGUGGGGAGCGAACAGG